AGAGUUUGAUCCUGGCUCAGGACGAACGCUGGCGGCGUGCUUAACACAUGCAAGUCGAACGGAAAGGCCCUUCGGGGUGCUCGAGUGGCGAACGGGUGAGUAACACGUGGGUGAUCUGCCCUGCACUUCGGGAUAAGCCUGGGAAACUGGGUCUAAUACCGGAUAGGACUACGAAUCGCAUGGUUUGUGGUGGAAAGCUUUUGCGGUGUGGGAUGGGCCCGCGGCCUAUCAGCUUGUUGGUGGGGUGAUGGCCUACCAAGGCGACGACGGGUAGCCGGCCUGAGAGGGUGUCCGGCCACACUGGGACUGAGAUACGGCCCAGACUCCUACGGGAGGCAGCAGUGGGGAAUAUUGCACAAUGGGCGCAAGCCUGAUGCAGCGACGCCGCGUGAGGGAUGACGGCCUUCGGGUUGUAAACCUCUUUCAAUGGGGACGAAGCGCAAGUGACGGUACCUAUAGAAGAAGCAC
rnacentral:rRNA from 1 species